AGUCGAGGUCGAAGACGGUGGUACCGCCGGUGCGGGCGGCGAGCGCGGCCAGGGUCGCCGCCCGGCUCGGCUCC
rnacentral:tRNA from 1 species